rnacentral:rRNA from 1 species
GUCCACGCCCUAAACGAUGUCGACUGGUUGUUGGGGGUUUGACACUCUUAGUAACGAAGCUAACGCGUGAAGUCGACCGCCUGGGGAGUACGGCCGCAAGGUUAAAACUCAAAGGAAUUGACGGGGACCCGCACAAGCGGUGGAUUAUGUGGAUUAAUUCGAUGCAACGCGAAAAACCUUACCUACCCUUGACAUGUCCGAGAGGCUGGAGAAAUCCAGCUGUGCCCGAAAGGGAAUCGGAACACAGGUGCUGAAUGGCUGUCGU